UACGGAGGGUCCAAGCGUUGUCCGGAAUCACUGGGUGUAAAGGGUGCGUAGGCGGACGUCGUAAGUCAGGGGUGAAAGCCCGCGGCUCAACCGCGGAACUGCCUCUGAUACUGCGAGCCUUGAGUCCUGGAGGGGCUGGCGGAAUUCGUGGUGUAGCGGUGAAAUGCGUAGAUAUCACGAGGAACACCGGAGGUGUAGACGGCCAGCUGGACAGGUACUGACGCUGAGGCACGAAAGCGUGGGGAGCGAACAGG
rnacentral:rRNA from 1 species